GUGGGGAAUCUUGCGCAAUGAGCGAAAGCCUGACGCAGCCAUGCCGCGUGAAUGAUGAAGGUCUUAGGAUUGUAAAAUUCUUUCACCGGGGACGAUAAUGACGGUACCCGGAGAAGAAGCUCCGGCUAACUUCGUGCCAGCAGCCGCGGUAAUACGAAGGGGGCUAGCGUUGCUCGGAAUUACUGGGCGUAAAGGGCGCGUAGGCGGACAGCUUAGUCAGAGGUGAAAGCCCAGGGCUCAACCUUGGAAUUGCCUUUGAUACUGGCUGUCUUGAGUUUGGGAGAGGUGAGUGGAACUCCGAGUGUAGAGGUGAAAUUCGUAGAUAUUCGGAAGAACACCAGUGGCGAAGGCGACUCACUGGCCCAAUACUGACGCUGAGGCGCGAAAGCGUGGGGAGCAAACAGGAUUAGAAACCCCGGUAGUCC
rnacentral:rRNA from 1 species